UACAGAGGUCUCAAGCGUUUGUUCGGAUUCAUUGGGCGUAAAGGGUGCGUAGGCGGCGCGGUAAGUCGGGUGUGAAAUCUCGGAGCUUAACUCCGAAACUGCAUUCGAUACUGCGGUGCUUGAGGACUGGAGAGGAGACUGGAAUUCAUGGUGUAGCAGUGAAAUGCGUAGAGAUCAUGAGGAAGACCAGUGGCGAAGGCGGGUCUCUGGACAGUUCCUGACACUGAGACGCGAAAGCGUGGGUAGCAAACAGG
rnacentral:rRNA from 1 species